AUGGUAGUUAUCUAGCUAAUUAACUAUUGUCAUUUUUGUAUUAUUAUUUCAGAGAAAGCAGGUACACCAUCUUAAGAAGUAUGGAGAACUGACAGCAAACCCACGGAAGAGAAAACAUACCCCUGACACUCCCUCCACCAUCAAGCAGAGCACAUUACUGAAGGCAGUGUCUCAAAAAUCCAUUGGCAAAGCUGUGGUGAAGUAUGUGGUCCAAGGUCUCCAACCAUUUGCUGUUGUAGAACAAAAACUGUUCAGAGAGUUAGUGCAGGAUCUGCAGCCUAACUAACUCAAAGAUAAUAUCAAGGCCCACACUGCGCUCCAGGAUUGAUGAAGCAUCCAAGGAAAUGAAGAACAAGGUGACUGAGGCCAUGAGAGGAGUUGACCACAUUGCCAUCACCACCGACUGUUGGUCUGCAAGAAGUUGCAUUGGUGUUACAGCCCAUUGGAUAGACCCUGACAGUCUCAACAGAUGCUCUGUAUCCCUGGUCUGUAAACAGUUGAGAGCAUCGCAAACCUUUGAUGUGUUGUCAGGUGCCCUAAAUGACAUACAUUCUGAGUUUGAAAUCCGGAGUAAGAUUGUAAGAAAAAUAACAGACAAUGGCUCUAACUUCUUGGAAGCUUUCCAAGUUUAUGGAGCAGAUGAAAAUAACGAGGCAGUCGAAGCAGUGGGUGGUGGGGGUGAAGCAGCUCAGCCAGGACAGGACGAUGGUGAAGAGGAACAAUAGGAGAUUGAAGAAGUGAAGUUUGUUGAUGUGGCAACGAUCCUGAAUGAAGGUGAUGGUUUUGAGUACCAGCUGCCAAAGCACCAGCGUUGUGCUUGCCACUUACACAACUUAGUAUCUAAAGGCAAUUCCCUAAAAGCAACAUCCAGCGAGGCUUACAAAAAAAGUGUCCUGUUCAACAUUUGGCAAGUGCCAAGCACUUUGGAACAAACGCGGGAGAUCCACACUUGCAGCCGAAACCAUUGAAGAUACUUGGAAACUCCAGCUGCUGCGUCUGAAUGCUACAUGGUGGAACUCCUGGUUCAUGGCUGUAGAAAGACCCCUGAGGAUCGUCAAAGACAAAGGAGAGGCGGCCGUCAGAGGUCUCUGCACAGACUUCAAGGUUCCAAUCUGAACUCCCCUGCCUCACAGAAGAUGUUGCCACAAUGAGCCCAGUCGUAAAGGUCAUCAACAUCUGCAGGCUGAAACCAAUUUCCAGAUGCAGUGGCUACUUCCAACUAUCAACCUGCUGAUCACAACAGUUGACCGAAUCAAGUUGUCCCUGAAGUACUGUAAGCCUCUGGAUGUGCUACAACUGGGACUGAAGAAGCACUUCAGCCACACGUUUCAAGACUCUGAGCCGAUCGCAGCUGCAAUCCUUCUCCCCAAAUUGACAUCAGCGUGGACAAAGGAUGACACCACCAUCAAAAUGAGAAUGAACUACAUCAAGGACCACAUGGAAGAAUCCUUGCUGCAGCUAGGCGAUGGCACAAGUUCACCAGAUGAUACUGUAAGACUGUUACCUUUCAGAAAAACUCAAGCUCUAAUCAAAUAAAAGGUCUGGCUGU